GAGAGUUCGUUUUCACCGUAUAAAGAGAUAGUUUUGGAUAUUAAUAUCCCGAAUUUUUGUAUAACUGAUAGUAAAAGAUUCUUCACACUUGGAUUAAGUAGUUAUCUCUACAUUUCUUAGGUAUGUGCAGAUGCGUACGUGAUCACCCCAGCUCCCAGACAAAAACACACUUGCUAGUCAAUUGACUGACUUUACCAUAUGACAUAGGAUCUUGACAGUAUAAGAGUAUAAUGCUUAUACAUAUAUGUAUAUACAUAGAUACAGGUACAAGGUUAUUUGAAAUUACUUACACGAUAUAUAAAUUUUAUUUUUUAAUUAAAUAAUUUCUAUUUCUUUUUAUAAUCGAGAAUAGUACUAAUGAAAUAGACAUUUAUUUAUUCAAUGAUAUUAUAAAAUGCUAAAAAGAUAUCUUUUGAUUGAAACGAGUAACUAAUGUAAAUGUAUUCGGAAGCUGAAACAGUUUCGAGUUUUAUUUUCAAAACAUUCUAUUUCCAACUUUAUUUUCAUGUAUAAAAAGAAUAAUAAAACAGAACACAGUGUGAACUAUCAACUUGUUAACAACAAAAAUGUAAAUAGGGAUAUUAAUCGCUGUGUAAAAAUACUUAUAAAUGAAUUAUAAGGAACAACAUGUUUUAUUUUAAAUAACUGUUAUAUUUUGCGUAUAAUAUUUUUACAUAUAUUACUUUAUAAAUAUGUAUAUAUGUAUAUAUAUAUUCUUUUACUCCUUUUACUCUCUAUAAUACUGUCAAUUGUAUAAAUUUACAGUAGCAUUAUAUAUAAAUUUAUAAUCAUAAAUUUUUUUUAUUAAAUCUUUGUUAUGUAACAAAUUAAAACGGAAUGUAUCUACAGGAAUGUUAUUUACAAACAAUAAAAAUGUUGGAAUGCUAGUUUCAUAACAGUACAACAAUAAAAAUAUAA